CUACGGGUUGCUGCAGUGAGGAAUAUUGCACAAUGGGGGGAACCCUGAUGCAGCAACGCCGCGUGGAGGAUGACGCAUUUCGGUGUGUAAACUCCUUUUAUAUGUCAAGAAAAUGACGGUAGCAUAUGAAUAAGCACCGGCUAACUCCGUGCCAGCAGCCGCGGUAAUACGGAGGGUGCAAGCGUUACUCGGAAUCACUGGGCGUAAAGGACGCGUAGGCGGGUUGGAAAGUCAGGUGUGAAAUCCUACAGCUUAACUGUAGAACUGCACUUGAAACUUCUAAUCUAGAGUAUGGGAGGGAGAGAUGGAAUUAGUGGUGUAGGGGUAAUAUCCGUAGAUAUCACUAGGAAUACCUAAAGCGAAGGCGAUCUCCUGGAACAUUACUGACGCUAAGGCGUGAAAGCGUGGGGAGCAAACAGGAUUAGAUACCCUAGUAGUC
rnacentral:rRNA from 1 species